UGGGGAAUAUUGGACAAUGGGCGAAAGCCUGAUCCAGCCAUGCCGCGUGUGUGAAGAAGGUCUUCGGAUUGUAAAGCACUUUAAGUUGGGAGGAAGGGCAUUAACCUAAUACGUUAGUGUUUUGACGUUACCGACAGAAUAAGCACCGGCUAACUCUGUGCCAGCAGCCGCGGUAAUACAGAGGGUGCAAGCGUUAAUCGGAAUUACUGGGCGUAAAGCGCGCGUUGGUGGUUUGUUAAGUUGGAUGUGAAAUCCCCGGGCUCAACGUGGGAACUGCAUUCAAAACUGACUGACUAGAGUAUGGUAGAGGGUGGUGGAAUUUCCUGUGUAGCGGUGAAAUGCGUAGAUAUAGGAAGGAACACCAGUGGCGAAGGCGACCACCUGGACUAAUACUGACACUGAGGUGCGAAAGCGUGGGGAGCAAACA
rnacentral:rRNA from 1 species